rnacentral:rRNA from 1 species
GCAGGCCUACCACAUGCAAGUCGAACGGUAACAUUUCUAGCUUGCUAGCAAGAUGACGAGUGGCGGACGGGUGAGUAAUGCUUGGGAACUUGCCUUUGCGAGGGGGAUAACAGUUGGAAACGACUGCUAAUACCGCAUAAUGUCUUCGGACCAAACGGGGCUUAGGCUCCGGCGCAAAGAGAGGCCCAAGUGAGAUUAGCUAGUUGGUGAGGUAACGGCUCACCAAGGCGACGAUCUCUAGCUGUUCUGAGAGGAAGAUCAGCCACACUGGGACUGAGACACGGCCCAGACUCCUACGGGAGGCAGCAGUGGGGAAUAUUGCACAAUGGGGGAAACCCUGAUGCACCCAUGCCGCGUGUGUGUAGAAGACCUUCGGGUUGUAAAGCACUUUCAGAUGUGAGGAGAAGAUAGUAGUUAAUACCUCCUAGCCAUGACGUUAACAACAGAAGAAGCACCGGCUAACUCCGUGCCAGCAGCCGCGGUAAUACGGAGGGUGCGAGCGCUAAUCGGAAUUACUGGGCGUAAAGCGCACGCAGGCGGUUUGUUAAGCUAGAUGUGAUAAGCCCCGGGCUCAACCUGGCGAUGGUCAUUUAGAACUGGCAGACUAGAGUUCUUGGAGAGGGGAGUG